AUACGGAGGAUGCGAGCGUUAUCCGGAUUUAUUGGGUUUAAAGGGAGCGUAGGUGGGAUAUUAAGUCAGCUGUGAACGUUUGGGGCUCAACCUUAAAAUUGCAGUUGAUACUGGUUUCCUUGAGUACGGUACAGGUGGGCGGAAUUCGUGGUGUAGCGGUGAAAUGCUUAGAUAUCACGAAGGACUCCGAUCGCGAAGGCAGCUCACCGGGCCGGAACUGACACUGAUGCUCGAAAGUGCGGGUAUCAAACAGGAUUAGAUACCCUGGUAGUCCGCACAGUAAACGAUGAAUACUCGCUGUUUGCGAUACACGGUAAGCGGCCAAGCGAAAGCGUUAAGUAUUCCACCUGGGGAGUACGCCGGCAACGGUGAAACUCAAAGGAAUUGACGGGG
rnacentral:rRNA from 1 species